rnacentral:sRNA from 1 species
GUCGUACCUGAUAGAUCGGGAUACUCUACAAUAAUCCAAAAACAGGGAAUGUUUCUCUUGUCAAUGGCGGGCCAUGUUAUUACCCUGUAUAGGGGAGCUGAAAAGCCGGUGGAUUACAAAGACGGAGGACGCCCACAUCGUGUGAAACAGGAGUUUUCACCACAUCAUCGGUACGGCCCCUU